rnacentral:rRNA from 1 species
GACGAACUCUGGCGGCGUGCUUAACACAUGCAAGUCGAACGAAGUGGCGAACGGGUGAGUAAUGCGUAAACAACCUGCCCUUCAGAGGGGAACAACAGUUGGAAACGACUGCUAAUACCGCAUACUGAAGGAGGGGAAUGCGUCUGAUUAGCUAGUUGGAGGGGUAACGGCCCACCAAGGCGAUGAUCAGUAGCCGGGCUGAGAGGAUGAACGGCCACAAUGGGACUGAGACAACGCCCAGACUGCUACGGGAGGCAGCAGUAGGGAAUUUUCCGCAAUGGACGAAAGUCUGACGGAGCAACGCCGCGUGAGUGAUGACGGGCUUCGGGUUGUAAAGCUCUGUUAAUCGGGACGCGGUACCGAAAUAGAAAGCCACGGCUAACUACGUGCCAGCAGCCGCGGUAAUUC